AGGUAAAUACACUCUUGAGAAUCGAACCCAUAAUGUUCUGCUUACCGGGCAGAUGCCAUGUCCACUAGGCUACCCUGGACC